CCAUUUGUGUUUUUUCCCCUCAGCUACAAUCUAACAUCACAUUCUUAGUUACAAAGACUUGAUAUGCUCACUUCUAGUGCAGAACAUUCAGCCCUCAUUCAGGAUACUGCAUCCUGCUCAACUCCAUGCAUACAGUCCUUCUUGAAAUCAGUGAAAACUCCACAUGUGAAACAGAACUGAAACAGACAAGACAGCCCCGCAGUGCAGGAUUGAACUACAGAAGCCUGAGAGAGGUCAGAAGUCACUGAGUCAUGCGGGCCUUAGGAAAGACCAAAGACGGGAGUGACUGAACUUAAGGAAUUUCCCAG
rnacentral:lncRNA from 1 species